CAAACGACUUCGACGAAGACGAGUAAGCAUUCACGCGUACGUCGCAGAGAGUCGGCGGCAGGUGCGAGCCGGCACGUAUAGAGUGCUGAAUGGCCUUUUGAGUCGCGCUCCGAACCCAUUCCUGUGGCAGUAGGUGUUGCCGGGAUUGUCUCUCCGUUACCAAGAGACAGGCAUCGAGAGGUUUUGCGCUUCUCUGUGCCGGCAGAGUGAGUCGAGGUGAACCCUUGGCUAAUGAGGGUGGUACCGCGGUCCACGUCCCUUGG
rnacentral:ncRNA from 1 species